rnacentral:rRNA from 1 species
GACGAACGCUGGCGGCGUGCUUAACACAUGCAAGUCGAACGGGAGUAUUGAAGAAGCUUGCUUUAGAGAUACUUUAGUGGCGGACGGGUGAGUAACGCGUGAGGAGCUGUCCUAUGCAGGGGGACAACAGUUGGAAACGACUGCUAAUACCCCAUAAGCCGAGAGGUAAAAGGAAUUAUCCGGCAGAGGAGGUACUCGCGGCCUAUCAGCUAGUAGGUGAGGUAACGGCUCACCUAGGCGAAGACGGGUAGCCGGCCUGAGAGGGCGAACGGCCACACUGGAACUGAGAUACGGUCCAGACUCCUACGGGAGGCAGCAGUGGGGAAUAAUGGGCAAUGGGGGGAAACCUGACCCAGCGACGCCGCGUGGGUGAAGAAAUCCCUCGGGAUGUAAAGCCCUGUUGUAUGGGAAGAGCAGAAGACGGUACCAUACGAGGAAGCCCCGGCAAACUACGUGCCAGCAGCAGCCGCCGUAA